CCCGCACAGCCGCACUCGCGCCGCCCCCUUCCUCUUCCUCCCGCCUCACCUCUCUCUCUCCUUCCAAACCCUAGGCCCGAGCCCGCUCCCGCUGCUUCCUCCUUCCCUGUUGGCGCCCGGCCUCCUCCCCUCACGUCCUCCUCCUUCUGCCCCCCUCCGACCUGGUGCCCCCCCCCCCCCCCCCCCCCCCCCGCCCCGUCCCCGGCUCACGCGGGAGGGAAGCAGGAAUGGCGAGGCGAGGCAAAGGCGACGGCGUAUGGGACGCGGCGCGGGCGGCGUGGCCCAGGGGGUCGGCGCGGCCGCGGCUUCUCGUCGUCUCCGCCGUCGCCUGGGCGCUGGUCCUCCUCGCCUUCCACCUCUGGUCCUGCGACGCGUGGUUGCUCGAUGCCACCAUGGCGGUGUUCUUCGGCAGUCGGGGUCAACAGAGUAGGGUCGUUUUCUUGGCUUUCUCGGCUGCACACUGUGGUGGCUAGGGUUUCAUGCCAGGGUCAUUUCUUGGUACGUGGAUGUUGUUCCUCGGAUGUGGAAAAAGAAUGGAGCAGGAGGAAAAGAGGAAGGAGAAGCUCUGCCACCUCCAUGCCCGUGCACUGCUUCUUGUUCGCCUGCAGUAGAAGGGAAGAGUAAUAUGCAUAUGGGCAGUUGUUGAAUCGAGAUCCAAUCCAACGACAAGGAGAGUUGACACAGCAGCGAAGCCCAACCCCCGAGAAAAUAAGAUGUGAGCAAGAACAGAAGAGAGAUGUAGUGCUUUUGUACUAAUGUUGGUUUGCAUCUGUACUGACUAGAAAAUGAGAGAGAGAGAGAGCUUUGGUACUGAUAUUGGGUGAGAGAGUAUAGAAUUCAGGUCUGGGUUAUUAACUAGAGUGAACAGAAUAACAACAGAAGUUUGGUAUACAACUACAGUACAUUAUAACAGACAAGUUUUUGAAUCUAUCAAGCAUCAAGGUAAGCUUUCAUGAUCACAGAAAUGUAGGUGUUUGUAUUAGCGCAAUGCUUUAAUCAGUUUCCCAUCUAUGAUCAAGGUUGAUUGCGUCAGCUCUGUUGUGGCGUUCAUGUAUAUGACAAUGGAAUGAUGUGAAAUUAUGGUAUCGAGGCUUAUUUUUGAAGCAUGCCUAGGGUUUUGUUCCUGUUUGUGUUGAUCUGAACAUGUGCUCUGUUCAUGUAGAAGAACUCAUAUGAAUCUGCCUUAGGGCAAUAAUUGAGAACAUGUGAUCAGUAUGUUAGCCAAAACUGAACAUUUGAUCUCUAUUGAACUGAAAGGAUUGUAUAUUUGAUCUCUGUUUAACUGAAAAGAUUGAACCUUUACUUUUGAUCUCUGUUUAAGUUUAAAAAUUCAGCUGUUUCACAAACUUUCUAUAGUUCAGAAACUGAAUCUUUAGAUGUACUCUGUUUUAGUGCAGAAAAUGAAUUUUAGUGCACAAACUGAAUUAGUACAGAAACUGAAAAGACUGAACCUUUACUUUUGAUCUCAGUUUAAGUUUAAAAAUUCAGCUGUUCCACAUGUUGGAUAAUUCUAUAUUUUCUAGAAAGAAUAAAAAGAUUUUAUGGAUCUCUACAUUGUAAUGGAUUUUAUUGUGCUGCUAUUCUUCAGUUGCAUUGCACCCCCGCAUCCAGAAUUCCAAGUUGGUUCAGUUUAGACUUUGCAGAUCAUCAAAAAUAGGUUUCUUUUGCUGAUAAUUUUUCUUUACUGAGAACCAAAAACUACACCUGGACCAUCGUUUACUAAGACUGGAUCUCAUCAUGGCUAUAUUACAACUCGGUAGUGUCUCAUUCUAACUGGCAUGUUAUUAUUUUACCAUGCUAAUGCAGGCGAUCUGAAGCAAGGAAAUGCUCAUGCCUAUAGACCCAAGUGGCACUAUUAUCAUGUAGGUGGAGGUGUUCCUCUGCUCGCCAACUGCAGGAGGCGAGCGAAGCUACAACGGAGCGGCAGAUUAGGGACUUGGGUCGCUAACCAACAAAUCAACUCAAUGGCAUUCUUCUCACUUAUCGGUCAAAUCCUGAACCUGGAUUCUGCUAUUCUACUUCAUAUUCUAUUGAUUUGGUAGGCUACAUCUACGUGGAUGCACCAGCUCUGCUCCAUAGAUAUGGAUACAAAGUGUUUCGUGGUAAUGUUCUAUGAUAAUUUUGUGUUGCCAUUGUUCCCGGUCAGAAUAUUUUAGAAUUUAUUAAUGGUCAAUACUUAUCCAUCAAACUACAAAUUCUUUCUCAAGUGUUGCAGUUUAUAUGCUGAAACUAACUGACAUCUACCUGGAUUUGGAUAUCUGUAAUCUUAAAUGAUACAGAUUCCAAUAAUAAAUUAUUUAUCUACAGACUCCCCAACUGGAAUUAGCAUUUGUUGUUGCAUAAAUUUAACUCUACAGGAAGCACAUGAAUUAUACCAAUGAAGAACUUAGGAUAGAGGAAAUUAUAAUUUACUAAAGUUUUAAGGAAUUGCAUGUUGAUUUUUUCCUUCUUUUCCCUAGCGACCUCUCCUCCAUGGUGCUCGGCAGAGGCAGAACGGUCAGCCGCCGCACUACGCGAAAGAGUGUCCUCCUAGGCCGCAUCUGAGAGGAACCAGGACCUCGUGGUGAGGUGAGCCACAGCGGGAGUGCCCAUGCACAUGUGCCGGCGACCGCGGCUGCCCCGCCCCCGAGCAUCACCCCACCCCCUCCGCGAGGGAGAGGCGUGGUGGCGUUAAGGAGAGCUCUACCACCGUGGUGUCGCCCGUUCCUCCGGUGCCACCGCUGCCCUCCGGACCGUCGUCCUCGUGUUCGCGUAUUCUCUCUCUCUAUAUAUAUAAUCCUCAUCAUAAUUUUCUCACUCCUGAUUCGGUUUUAUGUAGUCUGCCCGGCAAAUUAGCCAUCAAAUAUAAUACAUUACAUAGAUUUAAAACAUAUAUUUAGAAAUAUGUGCAGGUUUGGAUUUGAUAUGAACUGAAAUAACUAUAUUUGUCAUGGACUCCUGCCAUUAGUACAAAUGUCCUAUAACUAGCUCUGCUUUCAUUGCCAUGUAGUUUUACUAGCGUAAAUACUUGCUUUUGUUUAUGCUCUCCCCCCUUUCGGAACAAGCCAUCACCACUACAUCAUGAUUAUGGUGUAUAUAUAUAUAUGGAAAAUGUGUUUCUGUUUUUACAUUGAUAAAACAUGCGUUUAGUUGGACCGGCCAAGAAUAGUUCUCUGAUUAAUGCUAUAGUUUACUGUCAACUACUUCUACUAGUGGCUUACAUUUUUAUAGAUUGUGAGCCAUAUGGGAGGCCAUUCACUGGAUAAAUAUAAUGGACUGGAGUGGUGGAUUGAGUACCUUCCGAAACGGGUCUUACUCUCUGGUUUCUCCUUCCACAACAUGGUGUAGGAUGCAGCAUGUUGCUGUGUAAGGUACUGAUGGUCUCUGAGGUGAGCUCUUCAUGUGAUUCUAGUGGCGCUCUGUCUCCCUUUGCAUCUAUGAUGACAUUUUAGUGUAUAUGAAUUUGUGUUGAUUGACUGGAAGAAAAGGUUCUGUACGAUGAUUUAUAUAUGUCUCUGAAUUUCAUUAUAUUUCCGGUGUGCUCAUUUGUCCUGGAAGUUACCGUAGAUGCACCUCCACUCAUAGCAUGGCCACUAUGUGAAUUAGUUGAUUAGGAUUUUAUACAUUUCCUUUUACCCUUUCUGUGGUAGCUUUAGUACCGCGUAGCUUAUCUAUUCAAUCGAUUAUCGAGCUGUAGGUUAUCCUUUUGCAUCGCAUGCCUAAAAGUGAAUAUCACCACAUAGCUGAUUUCCUGAUGUUAUGAGUUUUUUUUGCAUGCUGAAACUUGUUUUGUACCAAUAUAUCCCAGUGGGAGCACUUUGUGUCUAUGGUGGUGAAUGUUUUGUCGUGAUCAAAACUUCUUUUCUUGUUCCCAGUUUGAGAAAUAUUUUAUUCAGACAUUUUGGAUCAUGCUAAGAUACUUGAGACAGUUUUUUCUUAACUAAGAGCUCAUUACAAUUUUUUUGUCUCUGCAGCUGAUAUUUCAGUUAAUGCUUAGUUGAGCCUAGAGAAUAACAUAUUAACAUGGAGAUGUCUUUUACGUGGUGAUCCUCUAAACUUCCUAAUAGUUCAGUGGAGUAGGAAGGCUUGCAUGAGUUUGCAAAUCUUGAACACUUCUCAAACUAGACUGACCAUUAUAAUUUGCAGGACAAGGUAAUGCCACCUCGGAAAGUUAGGUGUCUCUUUGUGCUUCAUUUUCAGUUACAUAGGUUGUAGUGCACAUAUCUGGUCAAGGUGCCUGAAAUUGAUACUAGCUCUGGUUAAUAUGGCCAGGAUUAUGUGUGAAAAGGUGUUUGAUCCUUGUGCAGAAAAAAAACUUAUUGCUCAAUAGUUUCACACUAUCCUAUUCAACAAGCUGUACAAAAAAUUUCCCGGGGAAACAAAAUUCGACUUUAAGAUGCAGAUUGAAAUCUAUCAGGCGCUUUGACUUCUA